rnacentral:rRNA from 1 species
CCCCUAGAUGUUCUGGGCCGCACGCGCGCUACACUGAACAGUUCAACAAGUCUUAACCUUGGCCGAUAGGUCUGGGUAAUCUUUGAACGCUGUUCGUGAUUGGGAUAGACUUUUGCAAUUUUUGGUCUUCAACGAGGAAUUCCUAGUAAACGCAAGUCAUCAACUUGCAUUGAUUACGUCCCUGCCCUUUGUACACACCGCCCGUCGCACCUACCGAUUGAAUGGUCCGGUGAAGCCUCCGGAUUGGCGCGCACCUCGGUGCCGCCGAGAAGUUGGCUAAACCUUACCAUUUAGAGGAAGGUGAANUCGUAACA